rnacentral:rRNA from 1 species
ACUCGAGCGGCGAACGGGUGAGUAACACGUGAGCAACCUGCCCUAGGCUUUGGGAUAACCCCGGGAAACCGGGGCUAAUACCGAAUAGGACUGCUGGUCGCAUGACUGGUGGUGGAAAGUUUUUCGGCCUGGGAUGGGCUCGCGGCCUAUCAGCUUGUUGGUGGGGUGAUGGCCUACCAAGGCGACGACGGGUAGCCGGCCUGAGAGGGCGACCGGCCACACUGGGACUGAGACACGGCCCAGACUCCUACGGGAGGCAGCAGUGGGGAAUAUUGCACAAUGGGCGGAAGCCUGAUGCAGCGACGCCGCGUGAGGGAUGACGGCCUUCGGGUUGUAAACCUCUUUCAGCAGGGACGAAGCGCGAGUGACGGUACCUGCAGAAGAAGCGCCGGCCAACUACGUGCCAGCAGCCGCGGUAAGACGUAGGGCGCGAGCGUUGUCCGGAUUUAUUGGGCGUAAAGAGCUCGUAGGCGGCUUGUCGCGUCGACCGUGAAAACUUGGGGCUCAACCCCAAGCCUGCGGUCGAUACGGGCAGGCUAGAGUUCGGUAGGGGAGACUGGAAUUCCUGGUGUAGCGGUGAAAUGCGCAGAUAUCAGGAGGAACACCGGUGGCGAAGGCGGGUCUCUGGGCCGAUACUGACGCUGAGGAGCGAAAGCGUGGGGAGCGAACAGGAUUAGAUACCCUGGUAGUCCACGCUGUAAACGUUGGGCGCUAGGUGUGGGGGGCCUCUCCGGUUCCCUGUGCCGCAGCUAACGCAUUAAGCGCCCCGCCUGGGGAGUACGGCCGCAAGGCUAAAACUCAAAGG